CAGUUUGAAUUGUCACCGGGGUAUUUAGGACUAAUUUAUAUGGCUGCAGCAGUGGCUUAUUCUCUGUCUUGUUCGAUUGUAGGAAAUAUCCUUAACAAAAAAGUACCUGCUUUCCUUAUCAUCAUCAUAGGCUGUUGUAUAACUAUUGUUGGCCUUAUAUUCAUUGGUCCCGUUCCAGGAAUACCUUUAGAUGGGCACAUGUGGAUAACCAUCGUAUCUCUGAUUGGUUGCGCUGUAGGGUCUGCAGCUAAACAAAUCGCAUCCUUCUCUUCAGCUUUAAAUAA